GCGGGUGUGGUGUAUGGUACACGGCUGUCCUUGUUUGUAAAGUAUUCCGAAAUUUGUAGGCAGCAGAACCGGGUUCGAUUCCUGGCACCCACA